rnacentral:rRNA from 1 species
AGUGAACGCUGGCGGUAGGCCUAACACAUGCAAGUCGAACGGCAGCACAGUAAGAGCUUGCUCUUACGGGUGGCGAGUGGCGGACGGGUGAGGAAUACAUCGGAAUCUACUUUUUCGUGGGGGAUAACGUAGGGAAACUUACGCUAAUACCGCAUACGACCUACGGGUGAAAGCAGGGGAUCUUCGGACCUUGCGCGAUUGAAUGAGCCGAUGUCGGAUUAGCUAGUUGGCGGGGUAAAGGCCCACCAAGGCGACGAACCGUAGCUGGUCUGGGAGGAUGAUUAGGCCAACUGGAACUGGAAAACGGUCCCGACUCCUACGGGGGGCCACCAGGGGGAAAUUUGGAAAAAGGGGGGAAGCCCUGACCCGCCCUACCGGGGUGGGUGAAAAGGCCUUGCGGUUGUAAAGCCCUUUUGUUGGGAAAGAAAAGCAGCAGGUUAAUACCCCGCUGUUCUGACGGUACCCAAAGAAUAAGCACCGGCUAACUUCGUG